GGCCGCCUGGCGAAAUGGCAUCGCGUCUGACUACGAUCGAUUCAUCAUUCUCCAUAUCGUCAAUCAGGAGAUUGCAGGUUCGACCCCUGCGGUGGUCA